rnacentral:tRNA from 1 species
AUAAAGUUGACAGAAUAAUGUGAAUAAUUUAGGAUUAUUUUAUAAGAUUUUAUUUCUUACUUUAUA